rnacentral:tRNA from 1 species
GACGCAUUAGUCAAGUGGUUAAGACACAGCCUUUUCACGGUGGAGACGUGAGUUCGAUUCUCUCAUGCGUCA